rnacentral:rRNA from 1 species
CCUACGGGGGGCAGCAGUGAGGAAUAUUGGUCAAUGGACGAGAGUCUGAACCAGCCAAGUAGCGUGAAGGAUGACUGCCCUAUGGGUUGUAAACUUCUUUUAUAUGGGAAUAAAAUGUUCCACGUGUGGGAUUUUGUAUGUACCAUAUGAAUAAGGAUCGGCUAACUCCGUGCCAGCAGCCGCGGUAAUACGGAGGAUCCGAGCGUUAUCCGGAUUUAUUGGGUUUAAAGGGAGCGUAGGUGGAUUGUUAAGUCAGUUGUGAAAGUUUGCGGCUCAACCGUAAAAUUGCAGUUGAUACUGGCAGUCUUGAGUACAGUAGAGGUGUGCGGAAUUCGUGGUGGAGCGGUGAAAUGCUUAGAUAUCACGAAGAACUCCGAUUGCGAAGGCAGUUCACUGGACUGCAACUGACACUGAGGCUCGAAAGUGUGGGUAUCAAACAGGAUUAGAUACCCGAGUAGUC